AUGGGUCCCGUUUUGGGGAAAAUGGGUCCCAUUUUGGGGGAUAUCAGUCCCGUUUUGGGGCAGACUGGUCCCGUUUUGGGGGAAAUGGGUCCCAUUUUGGGGCAGAUCGGUCCCAUUUUGGGGGAAAUGGGUUCCGUUUUGGGGCAGAUUGGUCCCGUUCUGGGGCAGAUCGGUCCCAUUUUGGGGGAUAUCAGUCCCGUUUUGGGGCAGAUCGGUCCUGUUUUGAGGGAAAUGGGUCCCGUUUUGGGGCCAAUCUGUCCCCUUUUGGGGGAGAUUGGUCCUAUUUGGGGGGAUCAGUCCUGUUUUGGAGCUGCAGGAGGGAUGCAGGCUGCUCUACUUGCAAGGAUCGGUCCCAUUUUGGGGGAAAUCGGUCCCAUCUGGGGGGAGAUUGGUCCCAUUUUGGGGCUGCAGGAGGGGCCCAGGCUGCUCUACUUGCAGGGUUUGGUCCCGCUUUGGGGCGGAUUGGUCCCAUUUUGGGGGAUAUUGGUCCCAUUUUGGGGGAUAUUGGUCCCAUUUUGGGGGAUAUUGGUCCUGUUUUGGGGCAGAUCGGUCCCAUUUGGGUGGAAUCCAUCCCGUUUUGGAGCUGCAGGAGGGGUGCAGGCUGCUCUACGUGCAGGGAUCAGUCCUGUUUUGGGGGAUAUUGGCCCCGUUUUGGGGGAUAUUGGCCCCGUUUUGGGGGAUAUUGGCCCCGUUUUGGGGGAUAUUGGCCCCGUUUUGGGGUGGAUCAGUCCCGUUUUGGGGGAUAUCAGUCCCAUUUUGGGGCAGAUCGGUCCCGUUUGGGUGGAAUCAGUCCCAUUUGGGGCUGCGGGAGGGGCGCAGGUUGCUCUACUUGCGGGUAUCAGUCCUGUUCGGGUGAGAUUGGUCCCGUUUUGGGGAUAUUGGUCCCGUUUUGGGGAUAUUGGUCCCGUUUUGGGGAUAUUGGUCCCGUUUUGGGGAUAUUGGUCCCGUUUUGGGGUGGAUCAGCCCCGUUUUGGGGAUAUUGGUCCCGUUUUGGGGAUAUUGGUCCCGUUUUGGGGUGGAUCAGCCCCAUUUUGGGGGACAUUGGUCCCGUUUUGGGGAUAUUGGUCCCAUUUUGGGGUGGAUAAGUCCCGUUCGGGUGGAAUCUGUCCCAUUUUGGGGCUGCAGGAGGGGCGCAGGCUGCUCUACUUGCGGGGAUCAGUCCUUUUUGGGGGAUAUCGGUCCCGUUUUGGGGUAUACUGGUCCUUUUUUGGGGCGGGGCGGUCCCGUUUGGGUGAGAUCGGUCCCGUUUUGGGCUCUCUCCUCGCCCACCCCACGCGUUUCCAGGCGCGCCGCGGGGCCGGGCGCCCGCUUUUCCCCGCUGCCCUGCGCCCGGGGGGAAAUCCUCCGUGCCCCCAACGGGAAAUUCUCGCUCCGCCGGGGCCGGGAGCGGCCGGAGGGCGUCCCUGCCUCCUCGGCUCCUGCAUUUGCAUCCCCCCCCCCCCCCGUGCCUAA
rnacentral:lncRNA from 1 species